GACUGACAAUUUCGGCAGCUCACAUACUAAAAUUGGAAUGAUAAAGAGAAGAUUAGCAUGGCCCCUGUGCAAGGAUGACACACAAAUUCGUGAAACAAUUAGUAAAUGA